rnacentral:rRNA from 1 species
AACGAACGCUGGCGGCAUGCCUAACACAUGCAAGUCGAACGAAGUCUUCGGACUUAGUGGCGCACGGGUGCGUAACGCGUGGGAAUCUGCCCUUGGGUGCGGAAUAACUUCUCGAAAGGGAUGCUAAUACCGCAUAAUGUCGUAAGACCAAAGAUUUAUCGCCCAAGGAUGAGCCCGCGUAAGAUUAGCUAGUUGGUGGGGUAAAAGCCUACCAAGGCGACGAUCUUUAGCUGGUCUGAGAGGAUGAUCAGCCACACUGGGACUGAGACACGGCCCAGACUCCUACGGGAGGCAACAGUGGGGAAUAUUGGACAAUGGGCGAAAGCCUGAUCCAGCAAUGCCGCGUGAG